GGGUUGUGAGGUUAAGCGACUAAGCGUACACGGUGGAUGCCCUGGCAGUCAGAGGCGAUGAAGGACGUGCUAAUCUGCGAUAAGCGUCGGUAAGGUGAUAUGAACCGUUAUAACCGGCGAUUUCCGAAUGGGGAAACCCAGUGUGAUUCGUCACACUAUCAUUAACUGAAUCCAUAGGUUAAUGAGGCGAACCGGGGGAACUGAAACAUCUAAGUACCCCGAGGAAAAGAAAUCAACCGAGAUUCCCCCAGUAGCGGCGAGCGAACGGGGAGCAGCCCAGAGCCUGAAUCAGUGUGUGUGUUAGUGGAAGCGUCUGGAAAGGCGCGCGAUACAGGGUGACAGCCCCGUACACAAAAAUGCACAUGCUGUGAGCUCGAUGAGUAGGGCGGGACACGUGGUAUCCUGUCUGAAUAUGGGGGGACCAUCCUCCAAGGCUAAAUACUCCUGACUGACCGAUAGUGAACCAGUACCGUGAGGGAAAGGCGAAAAGAACCCCGGCGAGGGGAGUGAAAAAGAACCUGAAACCGUGUACGUACAAGCAGUGGGAGCACGCUUAGGCGUGUGACUGCGUACCUUUUGUAUAAUGGGUCAGCGACUUAUAUUCUGUAGCAAGGUUAACCGAAUAGGGGAGCCGAAGGGAAACCGAGUCUUAACUGGGCGUUAAGUUGCAGGGUAUAGACCCGAAACCCGGUGAUCUAGCCAUGGGCAGGUUGAAGGUUGGGUAACACUAACUGGAGGACCGAACCGACUAAUGUUGAAAAAUUAGCGGAUGACUUGUGGCUGGGGGUGAAAGGCCAAUCAAACCGGGAGAUAGCUGGUUCUCCCCGAAAGCUAUUUAGGUAGCGCCUCGUGAAUUCAUCUCCGGGGGUAGAGCACUGUUUCGGCAAGGGGGUCAUCCCGACUUACCAACCCGAUGCAAACUGCGAAUACCGGAGAAUGUUAUCACGGGAGACACACGGCGGGUGCUAACGUCCGUCGUGAAGAGGGAAACAACCCAGACCGCCAGCUAAGGUCCCAAAGUCAUGGUUAAGUGGGAAACGAUGUGGGAAGGCCCAGACAGCCAGGAUGUUGGCUUAGAAGCAGCCAUCAUUUAAAGAAAGCGUAAUAGCUCACUGGUC
rnacentral:rRNA from 1 species